GGAGCAACGCCGCGUGAGGGAGGAAGGCCUUAGGGUUGUAAACCUCUUUUCUCUGGGAAGAAGCUCUGACGGUACCUGAGGAAUCAGCCUCGGCUAACUCCGUGCCAGCAGCCGCGGUAAUACGGAGGAGGCAAGCGUUAUCCGGAAUUAUUGGGCGUAAAGCGUCCGCAGGUGGCGAUUCAAGUCUGCUGUCAAAGCACGGGGCUUAACUCCGUUAAGGCAGUGGAAACUGAAUAGCUAGAGUGCCGUAGGGGUAGAGGGAAUUCCCGGUGUAGCGGUGAAAUGCGUAGAGAUCGGGAAGAACAUCGGUGGCGAAAGCGCUCUACUGGACGGCAACUGACACUCAGGGACGAAAGCUAGGGGAGCGAAUGGGAUUAGAUACCCCAGUAGUC
rnacentral:rRNA from 1 species